rnacentral:tRNA from 1 species
AUAAAGAUAAGCUAAGCAAGCUAACGGGUUCAUACCCCGUCUAUGAGAAUUGUAAUUUCUCUCUUUUUA